ensembl:lncRNA
UCUUGAAAUAAGGAGGCUGCUGCUCGUAGUUUGGGGGCUUCUGCUGGUGUUCAGGAAGCUGAUGCGGCUGGUAGCUAGAUACUAAAGAUCUAAUAAAAAGACUCCAUACUGAACUGUAACGUUGCAUUAGACCAAAGCAGCGGCUCCUGAAAAGGCAUCAAAAUAGGUUUCUGAAUUUGCUGCUGGCAUUCAGCCUAGCCAAUGACCAAUUUGACUAUUUAAAAGUGAUAUUUUUAUUCUUUUGUCAAAUUUGGACCGUAGAACCAUGUCAUGGCAGGAACACAAUUGAGAACUUUAUACCAUUGAAGGAUUUGAUGGAAUUUUCAAUGAAGCAAAGUUACAGAAUGCAAACUUCUCAACUUCUGAGUUGCUGCUGGGGCUUGUAGCUAGGAUGCUUGUAGCUUGGAUGCUGCGGCUGCGGCUGGGGCUUGUAGCUAGGAGGCUGCUGGGGCUUGUAGCUAGAAUGCUGCUGGGGCUUGUAGCUAGGAUGCUUGCAGGGGCUGCUGCGGCUUGUAGCUAGGAUGCUGCUGGGGCUUGUAGCUAGAAGGCUGCUGCUGCUGGGGCUUGUAGCUAGGAUGUUGCCUGCUGCUGCUGCUGCUGCUGCUGGGGCUUGUAGCUAGGAUGUUGCUGCUGCUGCUGCUGCUGGGGCUUGUAGCUAGGAUGUUGCUGCUGCUGCUGCUGCUGGGGCUUGUAGCUAGGAUGCUGCUGCUGCUGCUGCUGGGGCUUGUAGCUAGGAUGUUGCUGCUGCUGCUGGGGCUUGUAGCUAGGAUGCUGCUGCUGCUGCUGCUGCUGCUGCUGCUGCUGCUGCUGCUGGGGCUUGUAAAUGGGAUGCUGCUGCUGCUGCUGGGGCUUGUAGCUGGGAUGCUGCUGCUGCUGGGCUUGUAGCUAGGAUGUUGCUGCUGCUGGGGCUUGUCGCUAGGAUGUUGCUGCUGCUGCUGCUGGGAUGCUGCUGCUGCUGGGGCUUGUAGCUGGGAUGUUGCUGCUGCUGCUGGGGCUUGUAGCUGGAUGCUGCUGCUGCUGCUGCUGCUGCUGCUGCUGGGGCUUGUAGCUAGGAUGCUGCUGCUGCUGCUGCUGGGGCUUGUAGCUAGGAUGUUGCUGCUGCUGCUGCCGCUGCUGGGGCUUGUAGCUAGGAUGUUGCUGCUGCUGCUGCUGCUGGGGCUUGUAGCUAGGAUGCUGCUGCUGCUGCUGCUCGUAGUUUGGGGGCUUCUGCUGGUGUUCAGGAAGCUGAUAGCUAGAUACUAAAGAUCUAAUAAAAAGACUCCACACUGAACUGUAGCGUUGCAUUAGACCAAAGCAGCGGCUCCUGAAAAGGCAUCAAAAUGGGUUUCUGCAUUUGCUGCUGGCAUUCAGCCUAGCCAAUGACCAAUUUGACCAUUUAAAAGUGAUAUUUUUAUUCUUUUGUCAAAUUUGGACAGUAGAACCAUGUCAUGGCAGGAACACAAUUGAGAACUUUAUAUCAUUGAAGGAUUUGAUGGAAUUUUCAAUGAAGCAAAAGGUACAGAAUGCAAACUUCUCAACUUCUGAGUUGCUGUUGGGGCUUGUAGCUAGGAUGCUUGUAGCUUGGAUGCUGCGGCUGGGGCUUGUAGCUGGGCUGCUGCUGGGGCUGCUGCGGCUUGUAGCUAGGAUGUUGCUGCGGCUGCUGCUGCUGGGGCUUGUAGCUAGGAUGUUGCUGCUGCUGCUGCUGGGGCUUGUAGCUAGGAUGUUGCUGCUGCUGCUGCUGCUGCUGCUGGAUGAUGGGAUGCUGCUGCUGCUGGGGCUUGUAGCUGGGAUGCUGCUGCUGCUGCUGGGGCUUGUAGCUGGGAUGUUGCUGCUGCUGCUGCUGGGGCUUGUAGCUGGAUGAUGUUGCUGCUGCUGGGGCUUGUAGCUAGGAUGUUGCUGCUGCUGGGGCUUGUAGCUAGGAUGUUGCUGCUGCUGCUGCUGCUGCUGCUGCUGGGGCUUGUAGCUAGGAUGAUGCUGCUGCUGCUGCUGCUGGGGCUUGUAGCUAGGAUGUUGCUGCUGCUGCUGGGGCUUGUAGCUAGGAUGUUGCUGCUGCUGCUGGGGCUUGUAGCUAGGAUGCUGCUGCUGCUGGGGCUUGUAGCUAGGAUGCUGCUGCUGCUGCUGCUGGGGCUUGUAGCUAGGAUGUUCCUGCUGCUGGGGCUUGUAGCUAGGAUGUUGCUGCUGCUGCUGGGGCUUGUAGCUAGGAUAAGGCUGCUGCUGCUGGGGCUUGUAAGCUGGGAUGUUGCUGCUGCUGCUGGGGCUUGUAGCUAGGAUGUUGCUGCUGCUGCUGCUGCUGGGGCUUGUCGCUAGGAUGU